rnacentral:pre_miRNA from 1 species
UCUUUUUGGCCAGCUAAUCAACUCCAUCGUGCAGAGGUUUGAGUGUCCUGUGUUUUGCCUAAUCGCAUUCAAUUUCUGCACGGUAGAGAUGGUACGCUUAGAAACAACCUAAAGA